UCUCUNGGGCCAUNACCUUCCACUGGAGAAGCUAAAANCAUGGGNAGCGNANCAGAAUUAAAANCCCUUGGUAGUCCCAUGCCNGUAAACGUUGGGCACUAGGUGUGGGGGACAUUCCACGGUNUUCCGCGCGGUAGCUNAANGCAUUAAGUGCNCCGCCUGGGGAGUUCGGCCGCAAGGCUAAAACUCAAAGGAAUUGACGGGGGCCCGCACAAGCGGCGGAGCAUGCUGAUUAAUUCGAUGCNACGCGAANAACCUUACCAAGGCUUGACAUGCACUGGACGGCUGCAGAGAUGUGGCUUUCUUUGGACUGGUGCACAGGUGGUGCAUGGUUGUCGUCAGCUCGUGUCGUGAGAUGUUGGGUUAAGUCCCGCAACGAGCGCAACCCUCGUUCUAUGUUGCCAGCACGUCAUGGUGGGGACUCAUAGGAGACUGCCGGGGUCAACUCGGAGGAAGGUGGGGACGACGUCAAAUCAUCAUGCCCCUUAUGUCUUGGGCUUCAAGCAUGCUACAAUGGUCGGUACAAUGGGUUGCGAAACUGUGAGGUGGAGCGAAUCCCAAAAAGCCGGCCUCAGUUCGGAUUGGGGUCUGCAACUCGACCCCAUGAAGUCGGAGUCGCUAGUAAUCGCAGAUCAGCGGCG
rnacentral:rRNA from 1 species